GAGGCUUUCGGACCGGCCCCAGGUGGGAGGCAACUCUCGCUCAGGGUAGGAAAGUCAGUCAAACUUGGUCAUUUAGAGGAAGUACAAGUCGUAACAAGGUUUCCGUAGGUGAACCUGCGGAAGGAUCAUUAUAGAAUUGGUUGCUUGCAACCUUCACUAUAACAUACUGUUCACGUUCCUGUUGCUUCCCUAGCGUUAGGAGGCUUUCCUCUUGCGGGACUGUUUCUGCUAGGGAACUUUGUCAAACAUAUUGUGUAUUUAUUCUGAAUCUACCAUGAAAAUGGAUAUUAAAACUUUCAACAACGGAUCUCUAGGCUCUUGCAUCGAUGAAGAACGCAGCGAAAUGCGAUACGUAGUGUGAAUUGCAGACUCCAGUGAAUCAUCGAAUCUUUGAACGCACAUUGCGCCCACUGGUAUUCCGGUGGGCAUGCCUGUCUGAGCGUCAGUAUAAUCUCAAGCAACCGCUUGGUAUUGGAAGAUGAUCUGCCUAGCAGUUCCCUUCUUAAACUGAUUGGCAAGUUUACAUAGCAGCAAGCGUAGUAGAAAUACCAUCAGCUUAGUUACUCUGUAUAGCUUUGUCAAAAUCAAACUAUUUUUAAGGUUUGACCUCAGAUCAGGUAAGGAUACCCCCUGAACUUAAGCAUAUCAAUAAGGGGAGGAAAAGAAACCAACAGGGAUUGCCCUAGUAACGGCGAGUGAAGCGGCAUCAGCUCAAAUUUGAAAUCUGGCUCUUUCAGAGUCCGAGUUGUAAUUUGUAGAGGCAUAUUCGGGAAGCGGUUUAGUCUAUGUUCAUUGGGACAGGGCGUC
rnacentral:rRNA from 1 species